ACUCAGAUGACAAGUCCCAAAUGGGACGAAAUGCGCGUCCUGGUGAAU
rnacentral:hammerhead_ribozyme from 1 species